CAUUGGACAGCACUUUGUUCCUGGCUUUCGAUGCAUCCAGUUUUAUUUUCACGUCUUCAUGAUCCUUCUGAAGAGCGUUAUGCUCCCCGGUGAAUACAAGGAAGUACAAGCAGCUCUGCAGAAUCCAUAACUUUGCACUGCCUUGCCCGUCGAAGUGACUCACCCUCUGUAAAUGUUAUGCUACUGCACACCGCAGUCAGUGCUCACUUGGUGGCUGCACAAGAGGUCUGUGUGCUCAGGAAUCCAGAUGGUUCUAAGCAGAUGAA